rnacentral:rRNA from 1 species
GGCGGACGGGUGAGUAACACGUGGGCAACCUGCCCUUGAGAGGGGGAUAACACGGAGAAAUUCGUGCUAAUACCGCAUAACCUUUGAGUAUCGCAUGAUAUUCUUAGCAAAGAUUUAUCACUCAAGGAUGGGCCCGCGUCCCAUUAGUUAGUUGGUGAGGUAACGGCUCACCAAGACCACGAUGGGUAGCCGACCUGAGAGGGUGAUCGGCCACAUUGGAACUGAGACACGGUCCAGACUCCUACGGGAGGCAGCAGUGGGGAAUAUUGCACAAUGGGGGAGACCCUGAUGCAGCAACGCCGCGUGAGUGAUGAAGGCCUUCGGGUUGUAAAGCUCUGUCUUCGCUGACGAUAAUGACGGUAAGCGAGGAGGAAGCCACGGCUAACUACGUGCCAGCAGCCGCGGUAAUACGUAGGUGGCAAGCGUUGUCCGGAAUUACUGGGCGUAAAGGGUGCGUAGGCGGUUCAUUAAGUGGGAUGUGAAAUACCCGGGCUUAACCUGGGAACUGCAUUCCAAACUGGUGAGCUAGAGUGCAGGAGAGGAAAGUGGAAUUCCCAGUGUAGCGGUGAAAUGCGUAGAGAUUGGGAGGAACACCAGUGGCGAAGGCGACUUUCUGGACUGUAACUGACGCUGAUGCACGAAAGUGUGGGGAGCAAACAGGAUUAGAUACCCUGGUAGUCCACACUGUAAACUAUGAGUACUAGGUGUAGGGGGCGAAGCCCUCUGUGCCGCAGUUAACACAUUAAGUACUCCGCCUGGGAAGUACGAUCGCAAGAUUAAAACUCAAAGGAAUUGA